ACAACUCUCAUGGGGAGCCUGUUCAAUGAGCAGUAGCUGAGAUGGCACAAGCUGAACCCAUAUUACCUGAACCAGAUAAUGCUGGCGUAGGAAUGAGAUAUCCCAAGUCC
rnacentral:ncRNA from 2 species